GUGCCCGUAGCUCAACCGGAUAGAGCAUCAGCCUUCUAAGCUGAGGGUUACAGGUUCGAGUCCUGUCGGGCAUACGA
rnacentral:tRNA from 2 species